rnacentral:lncRNA from 1 species
AAAAUUAUUAAGUGUAUGGCAUAAAUAUGUAAAAAGAGUACUGAAAAUAAGUGUUAAAAAUCAUUAUUUAGAAAAAAGAAAAAGAAAAAAAGCCUGAACAUCUAAGAUUGACUGAAAAUGGUAGACUAACAAAGGCAAAAGAGAGAGGGAAUGUAAAACUUUAAAAUAAGAUUAGUUUCAUACCAAAAUAGGACAAAUCUGGAAAGAAAAAUAAAAUGACAGAAACAGCUUUUGCCACAAUAGUAAUUUGUAUUUGUCAUGGAACUUAUGCCUAAUGUCACGACCCGACUCCAUGGGCCGGACAGCACUAGGGCUCAGGCAAGCAUAAGGCUCUCGAGGCUCGUAGUAAGCCUAAUUACUCAACUUAUACAUUCCAUACCAUUUAUAAAAAGUAACGCAUACGACAAGGCCCAAUUUAAAUGCACAACCCUAUAACUGCGGAGUUCAAUAAUAUUCUGAUAAUAGAAUAAUUUAUACAUCCAAAAUUAAAUAACAGAAAUAUAAAGUUUACAUUUAUAACUCUACGGAGAAGAUUGCAGAGCUUCCGUUGGAUCGGCAACUUCCUACUACCUGAGAAGUUUGGAGCGAAGGGGGUGAAUUUUGCAACUCAGUGAAUAAUAAUAAAUAAUACACACCACAUACAGUCACACGAAAUGCGCCCUAAUAUAUUGAAUGAUCACACAACAAUCAAUCAUAUGGCAUAACAUCAGCACCCACAAACAAUAUCACCUUCAAAUAAUCACAUCACGUGGAAAUUAGUCAGUGGAGUCACCGAANN